AGUGAACGCUGGCGGCAGGCCUAACACAUGCAAGUCGAACGGCAGCACAGUAAGAGCUCGCUUUUACGGGUGGCGAGUGGCGGACGGGUGACGCAUACAUCGGAAUCUACUUUUUCUUGGGGGACAACGUAGGGAAACUUACGCUACCACCGCAUACAUUCAACGGCAUAAAGCAGGAGUUCAUCACACCUUUCCCGUCUCUUUGAGCCGAUGUCGGAUUAGCUAGUUGGCGGGGUAAAGGCCCACCAAGGCAACGAUACGUAGCUGGUCUGAGAGGAUGAUCAGCCACACUGGAACUGAGACACGGUCCAGACUCCUACGGGAGGCAGCAGUGGGGAAUAUUGGGCAAUGGGCGCAAGCCUGAUCCAGCCAUGCCGCGUGGGUGAAGAAGGCCUUCGGGUUGUAAAACCCUUUUGUUGGGAAAGAAAAGCAGCAGGUUAAUACCUCGCUGUUCUGACGGUACCCAAAGAGUAAGCACCGGCUAACUUCGUG
rnacentral:rRNA from 1 species